GAAGUUAAUAAGUUUAUCAUAGUCCUGCUAAGUCUAUUUAUCUGUAGCUCAAAUCUAUAGUAACUUCG
rnacentral:tRNA from 1 species